CCAAUAGCGUAUAUUAAAGUUGUUGCAGUUAAAAAGCUCGUAGUUGAAUUUCGGAAUUCUUUUAUCGGUUGAAUCAACAGGUUCGUACUGAUUUUAAGAAUUUCUACCUUCUGGAGAACCUUAAUGUCAUUUAUUUGAUGUUUUGGGAAACCAGGACUGUUACCUUGAAAAAAUUAGAGUGUUUAAAGCAGGCUUAUGUCUGAAUAUAUUAGCAUGGAAUAAUGAAAUAGGACGGCAUGGUUCUAUUUUGUUGGUUUCUAGGAUCACCGUAAUGAUUAAUAGGGAUAGUUGGGGGCAUUAGUAUUCAAUUGUCAGAGGUGAAAUUCUUGGAUUUAUUGAAGACUAACUUCUGCGAAAGCAUUUGCCAAGGAUGUUUUCAUUAAUCAAGAACGAAAGUUAGGGGAUCGAAGACGAUCAGAUACCGUCGUAGUCUUAACCAUAAACUAUGCCGACUAGGAAUCGGACGAAGUUAAUUUUUUAAUGACUCGUUCGGCGCCUUACG
rnacentral:rRNA from 1 species